rnacentral:rRNA from 1 species
AGAGUUUGAUCCUGGCUCAGAACGAACGCUGGCGGCGUGCUUAACACAUGCAAGUCGAGCGAGAAAGGGGGGGGCAACUCCCCUGAGUAGAGCGGCGCACGGGUGAGUAACGCGUGGGUAACCUACCCCCAGGCGGGGGAUAACCACUCGAAAGGGUGGCUAAUACCGCAUGAGACCACCCCCCGUUUUUUUGUUCUUUGACACAAAGGUUCUUUUUUUUCGGGGUAGAUCCCCACGGGAUGGGCCCCGCUCCGAUUAGCUAGUUGGUGGGGUAAUGGCCUACCCAGGCUACGAUCGGUAGCUGGUCUGAGAGGAUGAUCAGCCACACUGGAACUGAAACACGGUCCAGACUCCUACGGGAGGCAGCAGUGAGGAAUAUUGCGCAAUGGGGGAAACCCUGACGCAGCAACGCCGCGUGGGUGAAGAAGGCCUUCGGGUCGUAAAGCCCUUUCGGACGGGACGAACGCUCCCGCGGGGACAAGCCGCGGAGUGCUGACGGUACCGUAG